ACGUACACUCCUACGGGAGGCAGCAGUGGGGAAUAUUGCACAAUGGGCGCAAGCCUGAUGCAGCCAUGCCGCGUGUAUGAAGAAGGCCUUCGGGUUGUAAAGUACUUUCAGCGGGGAGGAAGGCGAUAAGGUUAAUAACCUUGUCGAUUGACGUUACCCGCAGAAGAAGCACCGGCUAACUCCGUGCCAGCAGCCGCGGUAAUACGGAGGGUGCAAGCGUUAAUCGGAAUUACUGGGCGUAAAGCGCACGCAGGCGGUCUGUCAAGUCGGAUGUGAAAUCCCCGGGCUCAACCUGGGAACUGCAUUCGAAACUGGCAGGCUAGAGUCUUGUAGAGGGGGGUAGAAUUCCAGGUGUAGCGGUGAAAUGCGUAGAGAUCUGGAGGAAUACCGGUGGCGAAGGCGGCCCCCUGGACAAAGACUGACGCUCAGGUGCGAAAGCGUGGGGAGCAAACAGGAUUAGAAACCCCAGUAGUCCCAU
rnacentral:rRNA from 1 species